GCCAGUGUGGUUUGGUGGUUAGAAUGUUGGACUAGGACCUGGGAGUUGUUGUUGUUUAGUCAUUUAGUCGUGUCCAACUCUUCGUGACCCCAUGGACCAGAGCACGCCAGGCACUCCUGUCUUCCACUGCCUCCUGCAGUUUGGUCAAACUCAUGCUGGUAGCUUUGAGAACACUGUCCAACCAUCUCGUCCUCUGCCGUCCCCUUCUCCUUGUGCCCUCCAUCUUUCCCAACAUCAGGGUCUUUUCCAGGGAGUCUUCUCUUCUCAUGAGGUGGCCAAAGUAUUGGAGCCUCAGCUUCACGAUCUGUCCUUCCAGUGAGCACUCAGGGCUGAUCUCCUUCAGAAUGCAUAGGUUUGAUCUUCUUGCAGUCCAUGGGACUCUCAAGAGUCUCCUCCAGCACCAUAAUCCAAAAGCAUCAGGGUUCAAAUCCCUGCUCAGCCA